UCUUCCUCCAAGAAAACCCUAAUUCUCCCCCAAUUCUCUGCCAAACCAGUGUUCCGUACGCGCCCGGUUCGUGUUUCUGUCAGGCGGCGGGUCAUUACUGCCAUAGCCCGAGCUGAAUCGAACGGGUUUGGCGGUGACGAUUCAAAGGAGCGGCUGUUUUUGUAGGUACCCGGGAGUAUUUUGAGCUCGUUAGAAGUCGGGGAAUUGCUGCAGGAACAACACCUCCUCCGCAUUUUGAUAUAAUCAUGAAGAAUCAGCGAGCAAAUUUUGUGCUGCCCCUAUUGAUACUAGCAAAUGUGAUAGUAACAGAAAACUCAAAACCUCGAGGGAUGUCUGCCGAAGCAACGCAGCAACAAGUCUCCUGUUAACUCCAUCCAGAUUGUGUUUUGUAAAUUAAGCAGAUUCCGGAUGGAGAUAUCAUCGACUGUGUCCCUAUCACCGGGCAACUGGCAUUCGAUGAUCCUCUCCUUAGAAACCACACAAUCCAGAUGAGGCCUAGUUCCGACAUAGAAGGUCUUUUCAGACGGGAUGAUUUGUAUCUGGACAAUGGCAUGGUCCCGGGAGGUAUAACUCAACUUUGACGUAUGAAUGGGGAAUGUCCUAAAACCACCAUUCCGAUCAAAAGGCCAUCAAAAGAAGACCUGUUAACAGCCGAGAAGUAUGGGAAAGGGUAUCAAGACAAUACCCUACACCACGAGUACGCUAUUGUCUAUACCGAGGAAGGAAGGUAUAACGGGGCAAGAGUGGGACUGAGUGUAUGGAAACCCAGGGUCCAAGAGGAAGAGUUUAGCGUGUCUCAGAUUCGGGUUUGGAGUGGAGUUCGUGGUUCGAAUUUGAAUACUUUGGAAGUUGGUUGGCAGGUUUACAAAGGUAAAUACAAAGAUGACAACCCAAGAUUAUUCACCCACUGGACGAGGGAUUUGUGCAAAGACACGGGCUGCUACAAUCUCGACUGCCCAGGCUUCAUUCAGACCAACAGUGCAUUUGCCCUUGGCGCGUCUAUCCAACCCGUGUCAACCUAUGGUGGUUCUCAAUACGGGAUGAGGUUGCUUAUCGCCAAGGAUCCAAGAACAGGAGACUGAUGGUUAGCGGUUGAUGGAACCGUUAUCGGUUAUUGGCCGAGUUCUAUAGUCCCAAACGGUGCAACGCAUGUUUCUUGGGGAGGCGAAAUUGCAAACAGAAACGCCAACGGGAAACACACCGCUACGGAAAUGGGGAGUAGACGCUUUGCAGAUGAAGAGUUUGGAAAGGCAAGCUAUUUCCGGAACAUAAGCGUAGUCGAUGCAUCGAACGUUAUAAGAGAUCCGGGAGUGCUGAAGACCGCCGUCACUCUGCCAAAUUGUUACAACGUGAAGAUCUUGUCGAGCGAGAUUUGGAGAACUCACUUUUUCUACGGUGGUCCUGGCCAAAACCCGAUAGGAAGGAUGACAUGUGGUGUUCUGAUGUGAUGAUGUGAUGUAUAACGAAGGCCAAAUGGUGUGCUGAUGUGAUGUAUAGACACCCAUACAUAUACACACGCACGAUCGAAAAGUUAAGUACAUUCUAGGGGGGGGGGGGCGGU